rnacentral:lncRNA from 10 species
ACUCCUGACCUCGUGAUCCUCCCACCUCAGCCUCCCAAAGUGAUGGGAUUAGAGGCGUGAGCCACCAUGCCUGGCCGAUACCCAACCUUUCAAAGCCUGGAUUUCCAUACACAAAAUAUACCUAAAGAUGCCUACUGUAUUUGGUGGGGAAGUCAAUGUGAAAAUUAGUGUAAAUGCUACACAGUAGAUAGAGGUUGAUGGCCUCUUGGUCUUUUCAUAAUCAUUAUCACAGGAAACACAAUGCUUACAUUGCUUUACCUAAUUCUACUUGUUCCAUACAAGAAAAUUAGAGCUGGUCACUGGAUUAAAUUGUAUUUGUUACCUUCCUAUUCUAAGUAUCCUUAAAAUAAUAGGAAGGUAACAAACAUAAUUUAAUAGAUAUAUAGAUAACAUCUAUAAGACAUAUCUUUAAUAGACAUGUAGAUAACAACUCAAAGAGAUCUGGCAGCUUCUCUUCUAAGUAAUUAACCUGCACACAUAUGGUUUACCUAGACAAUAUAACAUUUUUUGAGUAUGGGGAGAUUUGAAGCACAAGACUUGAUGGGUAUGAGCUUAUAAGUAUUAUUAUUCUAUUGAAUAUUGUUUUUUGGUUUGAAGUAAAAUGUUAAUUGAAUUGGUAAUGGUUUUGGUAAUAAAAAGAUGCUUCUGCAAGAACAUAAUGAAAUUUGAUUGAUUCACUAAGCUUGGUCUUAAGUACUCGCAUCAAUGCUUUUAGCUUUUAAAAUAAAUUGUAUCAAUUAUUGCUUAAAUUUAACAUUGAUGAAAAACAUUUCUAGCCCCUGGUUACCAUUAAUGUCUAUAUAGUUAACAAAGACAUGGGGAGUUAGCUGCACCAUUAUGUGAAGGCUCUUUAAAUUAGGUUUACUGUAAUAAACACACACAAGUUAUUUCUACAGCUCUGAAAAUCGGAAAAGGAAAUAGAAGAUGUUUAGGGUCACUGUCAGUUCUGUCUAAGCCUAGAUUCCUUUUCUGUAAAAUGAGGAUGAUAAUAAUGAUAUGCCCCUUUGUGUUUUUUAGAAUAACAGAAUAAAUGAUCAAUAAAUUUUAGCAAUGAUUAUUAUUAUGCACACACAGGCACUGUGCUAUCCUCUAUAAAACUGUAGGAUGGAUGAGAUGUAAUAAUUAUCCUUGUAUAAGUUUCCUAUUGCUGCUGAAACAGAUUACCACAAAUGUAGGCUAGGCUUAGAACACUAAUUUAUUAUCUUACAGGUUUGUAUCUCAAAAGUCUGUUGCUGGUCUCACGAGGCUAACGUCAAGGUCUAUAUGCUGGAGCUCCUUUCAGGAGCCUCGCCAAGAGAAUCUGUUUCCUUGCUCAUUGAGGUUGUUGGCAGAAUUAAUUUAUCUGCAGUGGCAGGAUUUAGAUUCCUGUGUUCUUGCUGGCUGUAAACUCUGGGUCAUUAUUAACUUCCUGAGGCUGCCACAUUGCUGGCUUUCUGACUUCUUCCUCUAUCUUCAAAAUCAGCAAUGAUGGAUGGAGUCUCUCCCAUGUCAAAUCUCCCUGACCCACCAGUCAAAGUUCUUAGCUGUUAAGAAUUCAUGUGAUUACAGUGGACCCACCUGUGAUAAUCCAGGAUCCUCUCCCCAUCGGAAAGGUGGUACCAUCUGCAAAGGGCCAUCUGCAAAGUCCCUUUUACUGUGUGACAUAACACAUUCACGGAUCCCAGGAACUGGGGCAUAACCUCUUUGGGAGAAGCAUUAUCCCGCCUACCACAAACCCCAAGCUUUUAUAUAUCUGGGAAAGUAAAUAAAACAAGUAUAUAAAUAACAGCCACAUAAGGCCGAAUGUGCAUCUUGCUUUAAGAAACUAUAAAUUCAUUGUUCAAUAUCUAAUUAGAAGGGAGUAAUAUAACUCUUCCUUUUAUCAUAUAUCAUUAUAAAGCUUUUAUACUAGGAUCUUCCCCUGUAUAAGGGAUUGUUUUCUCUUAUCUUGGUCUCCUCGUUCCUCAUCGAUUGUUGUUCCUGCAGCAAUUACCGAGCAGCGAAAAUGCAGUGGAAUGGCCACUUUACAGGAGGGAAGCCGUUUCCAAUACUCACGAAGUACAACUCCUAACCUGGUGGGCUUGGGCAUCCUGGGUAUUUGUUCAGAUAAUCAACUUUAAGGCUUUUAAAAACAUGUUAUUUUGUGAAAUAUUUGUAUAGAAAUGCUCCUGUUCCUUCUUUAUUUACCCUUAAGAGAUUAUGAUCAGAGGUUAGUUAUGUGACAUUGGUUCUCUCCUCUGUGGCUGAAUUCUUGAGAACAUUGCCAAUAUUAGCAGACCGUAUUGUAUUUCUCAUAUCUUAUUUUUUUCCUUUUCAUAUCUGUCAUUAUCAUCUGAUGCCCUUCAUCAUAACCUAAUUCUAUUCUUCAACUCAAUCACUGCAGAAUGGUGUUUUUUUCCUUGACCUUUAUCUAGCUGUACAGAGUUUUUCAUUCUUUAAGUAUAAAAAUAUUUCCUCCCACUACUUGAGUAUUCUACUUCUAGACCUUCCCAAUUUAAGCACCUAUAUGUAUCUUCAUCUCUUCCUUUCUGAUGGAGUUUCACAGAAAAAAAAAUAGUAAAAAAUUCUGACCUAGAUCAGACUGGUUAAUAGCUAGCUGGUUUCAUAUGAGCAAAACGACAGCUUGUAAAGUGCUAAGCUUGUGUCCUAAAAAAGACAUGAAGCGCUUCCUUUAGCAUAACAUAAGAUAAAGCCAAGGUAAAAUAGAACAUUGUAGAAUAGGAUUUAAUGAAUUAAUAAAAAAGAAAGAGUAAGUCAUACAGACAGAGGACAUAAGGAAUGGUGUGUGAGUACAUGGGCUUGGGAAUCAGACGACCUGAGCUUGGACACCAGCUCUACCACCUGCUACUUGUUGAGCCUGGACAGGUAACUUACUGCAAAGCACAGAUUUCCUUAUAGGAUAAAAGGCUAUAAAAAUAUCCAUCUUGGAUAGUAGUCAUGAAGAGAUGAUAUACAUAAAAACUUGGCAUAUGCUAAUUGCUCAAUAACUGAGAGUUUAAUAUUUCCUCAGACAUCAUCUAAAAGGACUGGACCUACAUCUGCAGUUAACUGCACAAUGGAAGAAACGGCCUCUCCUGGGCAGCCUCAUGGAUGGGGUGAAGAGACAAAGCUUGGGAGUGUAGCAUGUUGAGCACAUCUGCUCAGAGUUUAGGUUGUCUCCAAGCAUAAAAAUGGAAAUACUGAUCCUGUGACAACACAGCCUGAAUUUUCUGCUUUGCAGAUGCCAGAUUUAUUUUUAAAUGGUGUGAAUCAAAUCUGUGCUGAGAGGCCAACUUCAAAAUAUAAAAGAAAAAUUGGCAAUGGGAGGAUUGUGCUGGUUUGGCUGAAAUGAAGUGCUCUACGGCAUUUCAUUCUAGUGGAGCGUCUGACUGUGAAAAUCCUUCCAAUUGUAAUUUUCUUUGGCUUGUCAAAAGAGGAUUAUGAACUAAAGUCAGUGUUGCAGGAAAUGUCACCUGUCCUUUGAAAGAAAAUAAUAAAUCAAAAUGGCUUUUGUUCAUCAUGUUUAAAAUGAAAAAAAAAAAAAAGUUGAUCCACUUGGAGUCUUCUCUCAUUUCUUGACAAGGCAGUUAAAUAAAUAAAACGGAAUUUUUUGUAAUUGUUACUUCUUGCUCAUCUCAAAAGGGGAAAAGGGAAAUCUUCAUUCAAUACAUAUUCAUACAGAGAAAAUAGAAGAGCAGAGACAGAGACAGAAAGAGAAAUGAGAUGAAGAGUGAAACAAGACCCUGGUAGAGUUCCUCAAGUCAGAUGUUAAGAAAGGUAUCUUUAAAUUAUAAUUUGUUUCUUUGAUAGAUACUAUAUUACAAAUUCAAAAAUGUGAGGUAAAUAAAAACAAAAGGAGUAGAUAACUAUUCCUGAAAAAUUCUAAGUGCUUGUAUAUUUUGCUUUAAGCAAAUAAAGACAAAAUUACCAAACAUAUAACAGAGCUUGAAAUUAUCUGAAUUCUUUUGCCUUGACAAUUUUUUUCAGUUAUUUUAGCAAUAAACAUUGCCUGUGAUGAGUACAUACCACUUCAGAGAAAGAAAGUGAUAUUUCUGGCUUAUCGUAUGGACAUCAUGGCCAUGCUGACACCAUUUCUUUAAAAAAGUAAUUGUUAAUGCUACUUUGUAUGUAUUAAUCUGAAAAUAUAGAAGAGCAUUUUAAUAGUUGAUGCCACCACCAUAAACUCCGUUUCUUGUUGCUGUUGUUAUAAUCAUGUACUAAUGAUAACAUCUGGAAUGUUAAUGUGGUGACAAAUUUAGAAACAGCCAUAGAUUGCAAAGCUGGAAGAUAAUGGCUUACGACAUUUGCUCUCUAAUGUUGCAAUGAUAUGAUUUCAGAUGUGUAAUAAGCCAGUAUGUCAAAGAAGCCAAUAAGCCCAUCAUAAAAGCUAUAUAGAAUUUUGAUAGAGCAUUAUAUCAUCGCUGUGCAUUUUCUAGUAUGGUUUGGUUUGGUAUAGUACAGGCAAAUUUUAAAGUGUGGUUUUAAAAUUAAGAAAUAUUGCAGCCAGGCGUUGUGGCUCACGCCUGUAAUCCCAGCACUUUGGGAGGCCGAGGCGGACAGAUUACGAGGUCAGGAGAUCAGGA